UGCGCAGGCGGUUUUGUAAGACAGGCGUGAAAUCCCCGAGCUCAACUUGGGAAUGGCGCUUGUGACUGCAAGGCUAGAGUAUGUCAGAGGGGGGUAGAAUUCCACGUGUAGCAGUGAAAUGCGUAGAGAUGUGGAGGAAUACCGAUGGCGAAGGCAGCCCCCUGGGACGUCACUGACGCUCAUGCACGAAAGCGUGGGGAGCAAACA
rnacentral:rRNA from 1 species